rnacentral:rRNA from 1 species
GAUGAACGCUAGCGGCAGGCUUAACACAUGCAAGUCGAGGGGCAGCAUAAUGGAUAGCAAUAUCUAUGGUGGCGACCGGCGCACGGGUGCGUAACGCGUAUGCAACCUACCUUUAACAGGGGGAUAACACUGAGAAAUUGGUACUAAUACCCCAUAAUAUCAUAGAAGGCAUCUUUUAUGGUUGAAAAUUCCGAUGGUUAGAGAUGGGCAUGCGUUGUAUUAGCUAGUUGGUGGGGUACCGGCUCACCAAGGCGACGAUACAUAGGGGGACUGAGAGGUUGACCCCCCAGACUGGUACUGAGACACGGACCAGACACCUACGGGAGGCAGCAGUGAGGAAGAUUGAUGAAUGGAAGCAAGUCUGAUCCAGCCAAGCCGCGUGCAGGAAGACGGCUCUAUGAGUUGUAACCUUCUUUUGUACGAGGGUAAACGCAGAUACGUGUAUCUGACUGACAGUAUCGUACGAAUAAGGAUCGGCUAACUACGUG